UAAAAAGCAAUGAUGAGAAGAGUAAAUCCACCACAUUCGUAUACAGAGAGCUUCGGUAGCUGAAAAGAAGCAAUGAAUCGUAGAUUGAAGAUGGUCUCUGAGCUGCAUAGCUGAACUUGUAGAAGUAAAGUUAUGACGAGAUUUGACACUCGUUAUAAAUGUCAGAGUAUAAGAAUCGAUUCUAGAUUCCGUACUUAUGGAGGCUAAUUGUGUGAGCAAUUAGUAAAUGAAGGUGGUAACACGAGUAUAACCUCGUCCUGAAC
rnacentral:ncRNA from 1 species